AUUUGUCCACCACCGAGUAAAUGAGAUCUUGAAGCUAACGAACAAAGGGGAUUGGGGGCAUUGUCCCGGGGUUGAAAAUCCUGCUGACAUUGGGUCUAGAGGUGUAAUUGCUUCACAAUUGAAAGAUAACAAGCUAUGGUGGGUGGGGCCAGAUUGGCUAACUAAGUCAAAAGAGGAGUGGCCAAAAUUUGAGGCUACUGAUAAGACAAAGACAGUUAUGUAAUUAUGGUUGUAAAGGUGACAGAGCCAGCUAGUGUAAGUAGAGUGAUUGACUUGAAUGAUUACGGGACAGCAGAAAGACUUUUUGGGGUAACAGCUUGGGUACUCAGGUUUGGGUUUAAUGUACGAGCAAAAGCAAGGGGCAUUGAUAGGCGAAGUGGAGAGUUGACAGUGAAUGAGUUAGUUGAGGCAGAGAAUAUAUGGAUUAAAGAGGCUCAGGCAGGGUUGAAAGUAGAUAGAAAGUACACCCAACUGUGUAAUGGUUUAGGUUUGAUGGAAGAGGA
rnacentral:lncRNA from 1 species